GACGAACGCUGGCGGCGUGCUUAACACAUGCAAGUCGAACGGAAAGGCCCUGCUUUUGUGGGGUGCUCGAGUGGCGAACGGGUGAGUAACACGUGAGUAACCUGCCCUUGACUUUGGGAUAACUUCAGGAAACUGGGGCUAAUACCGGAUAGGAGCUCCUGCUGCAUGGUGGGGGUUGGAAAGUUUCGGCGGUUGGGGAUGGACUCGCGGCUUAUCAGCUUGUUGGUGGGGUAGUGGCUUACCAAGGCUUUGACGGGUAGCCGGCAGGAGAGGGUGACCGGGCACAGUGGGACAGUGGUGCGGCCCGGCCCCCUGCGGGAGGCAGCUGGGGGGAGUAGUGCGCGAUGGGCGGAAGUCUGUUGCAGGAUCGCGGCGUUCGGGAUGGUGGACUGCGGGUAGUAGACCGCUUUGGCCGGUGACUGUGCGUGAGUGCCGGUACUGGAUUAAGAAGCACCGGCUAACUACGUG
rnacentral:rRNA from 1 species